GAUGAACGCUGGCGGCGUGCCUAAUACAUGCAAGUCGAGCGAACAGACGAGGAGCUUGCUCCUCUGACGUUAGCGGCGGACGGGUGAGUAACACGUGGAUAACCUACCUAUAAGACUGGGAUAACUUCGGGAAACCGGGGCUAAUACCGGAUAAUAUAUUGAACCGCAUGGUUCAAUAGUGAAAGACGGUUUUGCUGUCACUUAUAGAUGGAUCCGCGCCGCAUUAGCUAGUUGGUAAGGUAACGGCUUACCAAGGCAACGAUGCGUAGCCGACCUGAGAGGGUGAUCGGCCACACUGGAACUGAGACACGGUCCAGACUCCUACGGGAGGCAGCAGUAGGGAAUCUUCCGCAAUGGGCGAAAGCCUGACGGAGCAACGCCGCGUGAGUGAUGAAGGUCUUCGGAGCGUAAAACUCUGUUAUUAGGGAAGAACAAAUGUGUAAGUAACUAUGCACGUCUUGACGGUACCUAAUCAGAAAGCCACGGCUAACUACGUG
rnacentral:rRNA from 1 species